CUCCCGCGGGCGGGCCUGGCGGCGGGGUCCCUCCGCCCGAGGGAGAGGCUCGGGUCUAACCCGCGCGGCGGAGCAGGAGGCACCGCUGACGCGCAACCUCUCUCGCACCCGCCACCCUCUGCAAAGCACUAACCGUGCAUCGUCUGAACUAGCUUGUCCUUACGUUACUGGUUUGUCUUCUUUAGGGGUCUGUUUGGCCGUGUGCUUUCUCCGUGCUUCCUAAACGUAGCUGCACCUCGGAAUCACGUGGCGAUCUUUCACAGACUCCAAGCCCAGAGCAGAUCCCCGACCAGUGAAACCACAGUUUCUGGAGGUGUGGACUGGACCUUGUGAGGUGCUUCUAACUCAUAGAAUAAGACAAAGGGGAUGGGACAUGAUUAGGUUACAAAAUAUUGGGACUUCCUCAUCUUCCUAGCAGACUCCCCUCCUCUUCUUGGCUUGCACGCUUUGAUGAAACAAGCUUCUGCUGUGGAGAAGCCCACAGCAAACAGUUGAAGGUGGCCUCUGGCCAACAGCCAAGUAGCAGCUGAGGCCCUCAGUCCAACAGAACUGAAUAAGAACUGAAUCCUGCCAACAACCACGUGGGCUUAGAAGCAUAUCCUUCAUCAGUUGAAUCUUCAGAAGAGGUCCCAACCCUGGCUGACUCCUUUAUUGCAGCUGGGGAGAGACCCUGAAGCAGGCAACCUAGUAAAGCUAUGCCUAGAUUUCUGACCCACAGAAAUUUUAAGAUAAUAAAUGUGUGUUGGUUUAAUCCA